rnacentral:rRNA from 1 species
CCUACGGGAGGCAGCAGUGGGGAAUUUUGGACAAUGGACGCAAGUCUGAUCCAGCCAUGCCGCGUGUGGGAAGAAGGCCUUCGGGUUGUAAACCACUUUUGUCAGGGAAGAAACGGCUCGGGUUAAUACCUUGGGCUAAUGACGGUACCUGAAGAAUAAGCACCGGCUAACUACGUGCCAGCAGCCGCGGUAAUACGUAGGGUGCAAGCGUUAAUCGGAAUUACUGGGCGUAAAGCGUGCGCAGGCGGUUAUGCAAGACAGAUGUGAAAUCCCCGGGCUCAACCUGGGAACUGCAUUUGUGACUGCAUGGCUAGAGUACGGUAGAGGGGGAUGGAAUUCCGCGUGUAGCAGUGAAAUGCGUAGAUAUGCGGAGGAACACCGAUGGCGAAGGCAAUCCCCUGGACCUGUACUGACGCUCAUGCACGAAAGCGUGGGGAGCAAACAGGAUUAGAUACCCUGGUAGUCCACGCCCUAAACGAUGUCAACUGGUUGUUGGGAGGGUUUCUUCUCAGUAACGUAGCUAACGCGUGAAGUUGACCGCCUGGGGAGUACGGCCGCAAGGUUGAAACUCAAAUGAAUUGACGG